GAUGAAGGAACGCAGCGAAAUGCGAUAAGUAAUGUGAAUUGCAGAAUUCAGUGAAUCAUCGAAUCUUUGAACGCACCUUGCACCCUUUGGCAUUCUGAAGGGUAUGCUCGUUUGAGUGUCAUUGUACUCUCACACUCCCGAUCUUUGCAUUGGGAGCAGUGGACUUGGGUUUGCUGCUUCACCGUCGCUUACCUCAAAUAGGUUAGUGCAACUCUUGGUUGGACAUAGUACGGCGUGAUAAGUGUUCUUCGCCGGUGCCUCGCAAAGAGGGUGGCCGAUCGGGAUGUUGUGCUCCAAACCGUCUUCGGACAAUCUCUGACGACUUGACCUCAAAUCGAGUAAGACUACCCGCUGAACUUAAGCAUAUCAAUAAGCGGAGGA
rnacentral:misc_RNA from 1 species